rnacentral:rRNA from 1 species
AGUGAACGCUGGCGGUAGGCCUAACACAUGCAAGUCGAACGGCAGCACAGUAAGAGCUUGCUCUUACGGGUGGCGAGUGGCGGACGGGUGAGGAAUACAUCGGAAUCUACUUUUUCGUGGGGGAUAACGUAGGGAAACUUACGCUAAUACCGCAUACGACCUACGGGUGAAAGCAGGGGAUCUUCUGACCUUGUGCGAUUGAAUGAGCCGCUGUCGGAUUAGCUAGUUGGCGGGGUAAAGGCCCACCAAGGCGACGAUCCGUAGCUGGUCUGAGAGGAUGAUCGGCCACACUGGGACGGAGACACGGUCCAGACGACUACGGGAGGCAGCAGUGGGGAAUAUUGGACAAUGGGCGCAAGCCUGAUCCAGCCAUACCGCGUGGGUGAAGAAGGCCUUCGGGUUGUAAAGCCCCUUUGUUGGGAAAGAAAAGCAGCAGGUUAAUACCCCGCUGUUCUGACGGUACCCAAAGAAUAAGCACCGGCUAACUUCGUG